AAAAUGAUGUUCUAAAAUCGGCAUUCUCGCUAUUUGAGAUUUUGUCAUUUUUUACCUGGUAUUUCGCGUUUAU
rnacentral:tRNA from 2 species